rnacentral:other from 1 species
UAAUUUCUGGGGUGUGCGAUACCUGUCUUAUAUUUUGGACCUACACAUUUCUUAUGGAUUCCGGGCAGGUCUUCAACAUGCAAGGCCGCACCGCACUGCGGAGAGGAUUUCCAAACAGCGGACUGCAGACGGAAGAACGAUGGUUUCCACCUUGGCGCUUUUUGGGUGCCAAAAUUUUGAUGCGGCACUCCGGAGAUUUA